AUACGGAGGAUGCGAGCGUUAUCCGGAUUUAUUAGGUUUAAAGGGUGUGUAGGCGGUAUUUUAAGUCAGUGGUGAAAUCUCGGAGCUUAACUUCGAAACUGCCAUUGAUACUGGAAUACUUGAGUAUAGUUGAGGUAGGCGGAAUAUGUAAUGUAGCGGUGAAAUGCAUAGAUAUUACAUAGAACACCGAUUGCGAAGGCAGCUUACUAAACUAUUACUGACGCUGAUGCACGAAAGCGUGGGGAGCGAACAGGAUUAGAAACCCUUGUAGUCC
rnacentral:rRNA from 1 species